rnacentral:rRNA from 1 species
UGGGGAAUCUUCCGCAAUGGACGAAAGUCUGACGGAGCAACGCCGCGUGAGUGAAGACGGCCUUCGGGUUGUAAAGCUCUGUGAUUCGGGACGAAAGGCCAUAUGUGAAUAAUAUAUGGAAGUGACGGUACCGGAAAAGCAAGCCACGGCUAACUACGUGCCAGCAGCCGCGGUAAUACGUAGGUGGCAAGCGUUGUCCGGAAUUAUUGGGCGUAAAGCGCGCGCAGGCGGCUUCCUAAGUCCAUCUUAAAAGUGCGGGGCUUAACCCCGUGAUGGGAUGGAAACUGGGAAGCUGGAGUAUCGGAGAGGAAAGUGGAAUUCCUAGUGUAGCGGUGAAAUGCGUAGAGAUUAGGAAGAACACCGGUGGCGAAGGCGACUUUCUGGACGAAAACUGACGCUGAGGCGCGAAAGCGUGGGGAGCAAACAGG